rnacentral:lncRNA from 1 species
GUAGGUAUAAAAACGAGUCGGCACUAAAUAGCUAUACAUUUGCUGAUGUUAAGAGCUAUAUUUGAGACGAUCAAUGAAGAACUUGGAGUUCUAUUAUAGUAAUGUAUGACUAAUCUAUCGAUUCAAUAAUCAUGCGCACAUUUCCGUUACAUGGAUUUGCGGAUAUCCGCUUGUAUGCCAACCGGGAAAAAGUAUAUAUAUAACCGGUUAUUCUUAUCGAUUUGACGUUCUGUUAAAACGGCGCAUUAAAUAGUGUAUUAUUAUUUUUUUACUUGCUAAUUUGGCUAGUGCAGCAGAGAUCUAAAUGAAAGGUUUUGACUAGAUUAAAGCUGUCACAACAUAACACGGAAGCGAUGGGACGUGCUAAAAGUAGCACAGCUUAGGUGUAUUUCACCAGAAAAGGCAUUGAUAUGUCGGCUAUGCAAAGCAGUACUCCGUUACAACGGCAGCAUGUUAAACCACAUCAAAUACAGCCAUCGUAACAGAAGUUAAGUGUCGUUGAAGUACAGCAAAAGAGAAGCUGCAAUAAAGGAAGAGAAGACACUGUCGAAGAGCACACAUGAGGAAGAUGAGCCGUGCCCUAAAAGAGGGAUGUCAAAGCAAGAACCCAAUACUUCAGAGGUAGCCUUGACAGAAGGUGGGGCUCCAGAGCAGUUUGAGUUUCAGUAUGGACUUGAGGGACCAACAUUUAAGAAUGAGAAUGGGGAGUCCUCCAAGAGCCAUCUGUCCAUCAUCAAAGUAGAACAGCUGGACUCCCUCCUCCCAGACCAAACAGACUCCAGCUGUGGUUCAGGGUCACCUGGGGAUUCGGGGCCUCCUGACUCGUCUGGUUCUGGGUCCAAUACUAGUCCGGCUUCACAGUUUUUCAGGAAGUGCCACCAGGCAGGCUGCACACAAUUCAUCUUCUCGGAGUUCACCUCCCGCCUCAGCACCAUCACUGAGAGGAUCGCAUCCCAGCAGGCCAGCGAGGAAGGUGAGACUGAACACCUGAGGAAUAAAAGGGCACUACAUGGAACGAUACAGGCGACUCCUUAUAGAUAAAAUGGCUUGGUACGCUUGUCGGCUAACUAAACCGGAGCAUGCACAUUUUCAAAGUGCACUUGUCAACUGUCUUAUUGCCCAUUGUAAAACUGCUCCUCGUUGGACGUGUGCUUGUAAUAGUGUCAUUAUAGGGGUAUGAUUCUCGCUUGGGGGUGCGAGAAGUUCCGGGUUCAAAUCUCGGAUGAUCCCACAUUAUGUUACGUACGCCUCUUGGAGGAGGGAACGCAACACCCUGCUACACUCAACUCCCCGUGGAGUGAAAGAGGUAUGUGACUAGGUGGAGGUAAAGAGGUAUGUGACUGGAGGUAAAGAGGUAUGUGACUGUAGGUGGAGUGAAAGGUAUGUGAUUGUAGGUGCGGGUAAGGAUCACAGAGGCAGAGAAUAUUACUGGUAACGGAAUUUCUCCUUAACACGGUAAAUGUGGGGAAAGGGGGCUGGAUGGAACCAAAGCAAAGAAAGUUGGAGUUCCCUCGCCUACCUUACCUAGCUAUUCUUAACGCCACCUGGCGCGCUAACCAAAAUACAGGGGGUGGUCUUACCUAGUGUGCAUAGACAGAGUAAAGACUACAGGUAUAUGUAUGCCCACAGGCCUCUUGCCUAAACACUCCCAAGGUGCCUUCCCCUUCUCCCCUGGGAACAAAAACAGAAUAAUUACUAACGUAAAGUGAACAAUUUCAAUAAUCAAAAACACUAAGUCCUUUUGGCAUAUGUAACCGAUGUGAAAUGGCUAGCUAGUUAGCGGGGUGCGUGCUAAUAGCGUUUCAAUCGGUGACGUCACUCGCUCGGAGACCUUGAAGUAGUUGUUCCCCUUGGCUUUUGUGGAGCGAUGGGUAAAGAUGCUUCGUGGGUGUCAGUUGUUGGUGUGUGCAGAGGGUCCCUGGUUCGAGCCCAGGUAGGGGCGAGGAAAGGGACAGAAGCUAAACUGUUACACAUACCUCAGAAGUAGCGGCUACAAAAUACUUCACAACAAAUUUACCAGACUAACAACCAACACAGGACAUACAAAUAAGCUCUCUAACAAAGGAACACUGGCUUUUCAAGCUGCAGAAGGAGUCGGUAAUUGCAGACAGCUGUAUCACCUGAUGAGAGGGCGGGGUCAGAGCUCCAAUCUGCAAUGGGGGCCGACCAAUCAGCUGCUUGGAAGCCAUCCUGAAACACACACAUACAAACCCACAACACAGAAACUGGGGAGCAUAACAAUAUUAAUAUUAACCUAAAUAUUUUCCUGUGUUCACAGAUUUCAACCUCACCCUGAAAGUGCUGGAGGCCUCUGGGAUGCUGCCAGAGAUCUUUACCAAAAGAGACCAAGAAAUGGAGAAGAGACUGAGGGAGCUACAGAGAGAGACUGUUGCGGUGAGGACAGCCAGGUCUGCCAUGAGAGAUGCUUGCGUCAUGAGCUUCACCUCAUGACGGAGCACCGCUGAAGAUCAAAUCGGUUUUAUAAGGCGUUAUAACCAGCAGAGCCUGGUUAUAUUCUGACCACUUGACAGAACUAGGAAGGUAUAGGAGUUUUCCCUGGACCAAUCCCCUCGUCAGGAAAAACUUAGAUCCUCCUUUUAACCGAAAUGUAAAUAUUUCAAACCUUUUGUAUUUUACAUAUUUUUCUACCCGUGUUCAAACUUUGACUCUGUGAAAUCUGAACUCUGACAUUUGAAUGCAGUUUUUCACCCUGGCCACUAACUUGAGUGGCAUGUUAUACAUUAAAUGAGUAAUUGGUAAUAUAAUCUUUUGACAGACAUUGGUUCUGAGGUUAUUGGUGGUGAUUUGAUGUUAGUAGGUGAUCCUUAGUCUCCCGCUCUGUACUGUAUAUUAUAUGCUCACUAACCCUUAACAGACUUAAUAUAUCCUAAUAUACUGAAUGUGCAAAUUAGUAGAUCCAUUUUUUUUAUUGACGGUUACUAUCUCCACUAGUACUAUAAGAUUAAUUAUUUAGAAUACACUGUAAUAUAGUACACUUGAGAGGAAAGUUGAGACCUG